rnacentral:lncRNA from 1 species
CGGACAGCCGGCGAAAGAUCUGAGGAGCCGCUGGACUGGAAACUGCUACUGGGCUAAAAAUACUUAAGUGUCCCAAAAGGAAGUUUUCGGGAAAGGAAGAGAGUGGGGAAGGACUAGGCAACUUACUGCUUGGUGAGAACUCUUUGGUUUCCACAGAGGUGGCCCAUGAGGUUGGGGGUGACUCGACCGAUGUCAAUGGUCAAGAUGUCCCGGUCAUAGUUGGGGUAAGGAGCCCGACGGGCAAAGCACUCAUCCCGAGUAGGGCUGGGAGGGUGGCGGCAACACAAGUGGUGGUGGGUCUUCACAGCAUACUCCCGGUCACAGUAUUUGUCAAGGGUAUCCUCC